GCCCGCCUAGCUCAAUCGGAUAGAGCGUCAGACUCUUAUCCGAUCAAUCGCAGAGGGCUAUCUGAAGGCUGCGAGUUCGACCCUCGCGGUGGGCU